UCGCGGUUAUACAAAUUAUAAAAAUAAAUUAUAUUAGUUAUUAGUUAAAUUAAUUAAAAAUUUUAAAAUUAUAAUUUAAUUUUUAGGUAAAAUUUAAAAUUAAAUAUAAUUUUAAUUAUAAAUUUAUUGAAGCUAAUAAAUUUUAAAUAUAAACUAGGAUUAGAUACCCUAUUAUAUAAAAUAAAAAUUAAAAUACUAAGGUAGUAUUAGAUAUAGUCUUAAAACUUAAAAAAUUUGGCGGUAUUUUAGUCUAUUUAGAGGAACUUGUUUCUUAAUUGAUAAUCCACGAUUAAUUUUACUAAUUUUUGUAUAAUUUGUAUAUCGUCGUUAUUAGAAUAUUUUUUUAGAAUUAUAAUAUUCCAGAAAUUUUAUAUAAUUAGAUUUCAGAUCAAGGUGCAGUUUAUAAAUUAGUUGAAAAUGAGUUACAAUAAAUAAAUUUAUACGAAUAGAUUAUUGAAAAAUAAGAUUGAAGGUGGAUUUAAUAGUAAAAUUAAUAAAUUAAUUAAUUUGAUUAUAGCUCUAAAAUAUGUACACAUCGCCCGUCGCUCUUUUUAUUUUUAAGAAAGAUAAGUCGUAACAUAGUAGAUGUACUGGAAAGUGUAUCUAGAAUGA
rnacentral:rRNA from 1 species